UAUUCAUAGGGGGCGGGGCCGCCGGGCGGGGGUGGGGCCGCGCGACCUGCUCCUAGCGCCCCGGGCGGGGGAGGCUCCGCGUAACUUGCGGUCGCGCCCCUCCCCCUCCCGUCGUCUGCUGGGCGCUGUGACCUGCCCCCGCUCCGCGUGGGUGUGUUACGCCCCCACGUGUGACACCCCCCCCUCAGCCUGAAGCGCACUCACAUGCACGGGUGUGCGCUUUGUAUGCCCCUUGUCAUGCACACACACCCCCAUCGGUCUGGAGUGUGUGUGUUAUAUCCCCUCAGCCAGUCACACACCCACCCCCUGAGCGUGUCUGUGUGUGUCACAACCCCCCACCCAGCGAGUCACGCACAAGACCCCCCCACCCCCCAGCCUGCAGAGAGAGGGUGUGUGCACUAUACGCCCCCUCACCUAGCCAGUCACCCCCUCCUCGUCCCCUCUAGGCUAGGGGAUGGGUCUGUGUCAUGCCCCGCACACCCAGUCAGUCAUACCCCGCCUUCCUUAGCCUGGCGCAGGGCCAGGGUCUCGUGCGCACACACCCUGACAAGUGUGGGAUAGUGGUCUAUAUGCAGUCACAUUUAGGGCGGGAGCUCUGUCACAUGCACACUUUUCAGGGGCAGUGUCACAGCCCUGCCGCCGUCUUUGGAAAUGGCAGCUGCUCCCGGGGUUCAGGGGCUCCUGCUAUGGGGUUCUCGGCCAGGGGCCCUUGAGAUCCUUUCAGGAGUGAUGUGAGGUAGCAUACGAUGUUAGCACCAAUAGGUGUGUAGACAUGAUUCUCAGAAGAAACCUGGAGAUUUCCAAUGAGAAUCCAGAGUGUUAAAAGCAUUCUGACCCCCUGUGGUCUUUGAGUUGUUUGCAACAGAGGAAUUGCUCUAUUAUUUUUCUUCAAGUGGAAAGCAAUAGCUAACAUUUUUUGAGACGUGCCUUGAGUCUGUCAAGAGUUGUCUUGAGUCUAAAAAGGUUGAGAACCACUGCUCUAAUGUGUGCACACUUUCUUUGCCUCAGCAGGGAGCGGUUAUUCUUGCUUCACUCCGGGGCAGUGCUAGUGCCCCUCACCCCUACACUGCCAGCCCGCCGGACAGGGGCUCUGCACCUCCAUUCAGAAUGUUUUAGGGGUCUACAAAUGAAGAAAAGUUGAAAACCACUGCUCUAAGCUAGCCACUUCUUCCUACUAUUGGAGGUGCUAAUUAAUCUUCGUGCUGCACUAGCAAAAAGAGGUGUGAACCUGAUGGAUUUGUCUCUGGGGAAAGAGGGAGUCUUCAGAUCACUGUAUGUAGUGUCUCUACACCACACCUACAAUGACCAAUGCUGCUGGGAGCACCUAAAGACAUUCCCAAGGACAUAGCAUGGCAGGAGUGUGGCUGUACACUGCCUUUGCCCUUUCUUGCAUCCAGAGCUGAACUCAGGUUGGGCACAGUGAUGUAUCCAGCCAGUGACGCCUGUUGUGUUCCUGUACAAAGGGAUGAAUACCCUGCAUUCACUGCCUCAGUGGAAGCAGUCUCUAGAAUUGAUCCAACUGUAAAGAUUCACUAACCAAUAUCUUCUGUUGGCUACUGUCUGUUUUCUUCUAAUCCAUAUAUUUUGGGAAUUAAGACAUGAGAUGGGUCCCAAAAGUAUCGUCCCUUUGGUUGACCAGUAAUAUUGCUUCCCUGUACAAAAUUAAAAACAUGACAAAAUUAGGAGCUAUAUCUUCUGGCCAUUUUGAUAUAAAUAUUCUGUGGCAUCUGCUCUGCAAUAUGAUAAAGUAUUAAAGACUUG